AGACCACCUGCAGAAAAAGAUGUAUUUUAGAAAGUCAGGUUUCAAGCAUCAUGUCAGACCUAUGGAGUCAGGGAAUUAAGAUGCUAGAAAUGAAUGCCUCAGCUGAGGACUAUUAACUAACUGCCACAAUUAUUCUAAACCAGUCAUGAAAUAAAAGAUCCACAUUUUAAAAUUCCAGUUCUGUUUAAAUAAAAACAUCACGGAAACUGUUCAAUCCAUUACAAGGUUUAACCUUUAAAGGCUUUGUUGAAGUAAAAACUAUACAUUUAUUUAUUUUCUCAAAAACAUCUUCCACAAAAGACUAAGGGAGUUUACUUUUGCAGAUACUAAAGAGAAGAGACCUGUAGCCUCCUCCGUUCUAACUCAAGUGUUUGGCAAAGACCCAUGAAGUGGAAGGCAGAAGGUCAGCUCUGUACACAAGCAUCUCCUGUGGAAAGUUACUCAAUCCCAAGGGCAAAGUAAGGGUAACACUUCUGAAAUGAAUUUGGAAAGAUCAAAAAGGGAGAGCAGCAGAGGAUGGGGUUGCUGGUGUACCAGGCUUCUCUCCAGACAGCUGGCAGCCAUGCCACCCCCACCCCCAUCCCCCAUCCCAGAAGACAGGAACAAUGCUAUAAAGGCUCAAAGGAAGAAUACACUUAAAGAUAAGCAAAAAUGAAGCCACUCAACAUUUCAAGAGAUAGCAGUCUAUAUAGCAUUGCUACCGCUUUUGUUACCGGCUACUAUACAUCAGGAGGGGCUACCCACUGAAAGCCUCUGGGUACAAAGUCCUUGACAGAAAAGACCCUGUGUCUUCUCAUCUUGGCAUUUUCUAGAGUUUUAAACAAUAGAUAUCUAUUGAAUGAAUAAAUGUUCAAUAGCAGAAAUGACCCUUUUUCUUGACUCUCAGGAUCAUAUUUUCAUACAUCAUCAGUUGUCUCUGUGUGCGUUUUGUGUGUGUGAACUAUUAAGUGCUGUUAAGCUUAAUAAAUACUGAGUAUCACCACCA